rnacentral:lncRNA from 1 species
CACCCUGGACAACCGUGCAGAAUAUGUCCGGCUGGCAAUAAACUACAGACUCCAUGAAUUUGAUGAACAAGUGGCUGCUGUCCGGGAAGGGAUGGCUCGAGUUGUGCCUGUACCUCUUCUCUCUCUUUUCACUGGAUACGAAUUGGAGACAAUGGAUGUUUUUCCUAGGUAUGUGGGAGCCCGGACAUCCCACUGCAUCUUUUAAAGUCAGUGGCAACAUAUAAAGGGAUUGAGCCUUCUGCAUCCUUGGUCCAGUGGUUCUGGGAGGUGAUGGAGUCUUUCUCUAACACGGAACGCUCCCUCUUUCUUCGCUUUGUAUGGGGCCGGACAAGGCUGCCCAGGACCAUUGCUGACUUCCGGGGCAGAGACUUUGUCAUCCAGGU